ACGCUCGACACCUACGGGAGGUAGCAGUGGGGAAUAUUGCACAAUGGGGGAAACCCUGAUGCAGCGACGCCGCGUGAAGGAAGAGGUAUUUCGGUAUGUAAACUUCUAUCAGCAGGGAAGAAGAUGACGGUACCUGACUAAGAAGCCCCGGCUAACUACGUGCCAGAGCCGCGGUAAUCUGAGCGGGCGUGGCAAGGC
rnacentral:rRNA from 1 species